rnacentral:misc_RNA from 1 species
GAAAUGCGAUAAGUAAUGUGAAUUGCAGAAUUCAGUGAAUCAUCGAAUCUUUGAACGCAGCUUGCGCUCCUUGGUAUUCCUUGGAGCAUGCCUGUUUGAGUAUCAUGAAAUCUUCAAAGUAAAUCUUUUGUUAACUCAAUUGGUUUCUACUUUGGUAUUGGAGGUCUUUGCAGCUUCACACCUUCUCCUCUUUGUUCAUUAGCUGGAUCUCAGUGUUAUGCUUGGUUCCACUCGGCGUGAUAAGUUAUCUAUCGCUGAGGACACUGUAAAAGGUGGCCAAGGUAAAUGCAGAUGAACCGCUUCUAAUAGUCCAUUGACUUGGACAAUACUUUUAUGAUCUGAUCUCAAAUCAGGUAGGACUACCCGCUGAACUUAAGC